UCAGAGGCAACAAAGACUUUUGAACUGAAGUCAAUGGAGCUAUCCUGAUUUCUAACCACUGAGGAUUUGGCCCAAAGAGAUAUAAACCACUUGCCUCACGUCUUGCUUGCCUAACCACAUCCAACACAUACAAGGCCCCUCAGCACACAACAUUUGGCUUGUCUACACUUGAAAGUUAAUUUGCAUUAAGGUAGGGUAUGAAUUUAAAAUGCAAUAACUAUUCCUGAAUCACUUCAUCUCUUAAUCCAGAAUAAGAGUGUCCACUCAUGAAGUGAUUCAGGAAUAGCCAUUCCAGAAUCACUCCAUGUGCUGACAAGCCCGAAAGGGCAGAUCACCACUAGGUAUAAACAGGCCUUCAGUUUCAGUGACCGGAGGAAGAAAAUAGAUGUCUGUCUUGCCUGUUUACAUUGUUAAAGAGCCAGUCUCUCUUGCUCCAGAUCCAGAAACUCCAAGAGGAACUGGACAAGCUGGGUACCUGCCUUUCCCCCUCCUGCACCAGCACCAAGAACCCGGAGAGUGUGGGCAGCAACGCAGACUUCCUGGAGAGCUCCCGGGGCAGGCUGAGAUUCUCCCUCUUCUACCACAGGGAGCGACUUGAGCUGCUCUUGACGGUCAUUGCAGUGACAGGCCUGCCUAGCCGAGGGAGCGCUGACUCUGCUGUUCGGGUCCGGCUGCUGAAGCAGGUCCCAUCUCACAUCUCUGGCCUCCAGUGCAUGGUCCAUGAGUGGCAAACACAGGCGGUGAAGAACUGCAGGAAACCUGCCUUUGGGGACCAGUUUGUCUGCUCCCUGCAGGAGGCCGAGCUGGAGAAGAGCACUGUGAAGUUGGAGAGCUUACAGAGACAGGGAGCUUAUGCCAAGGAACUAAACAAAAGCACUAUCUGUUCCAAUACAGUUCAGCUCUCAAGACAGGAGUUGAUGAGGAAGUCCCCUAGAUGUAAGUGUUAGUAGCUGUAUCAGGUGCUUUCUGUUUUCUGACUCAGCUGGUCAGUUUUUCAUGGCAUUGAGGAAGCAGCCCCAGAAUGUGUUUCAUAUUUAUGCAUAUUUUUAUGUGAUUAUGGUUUUAUUUUAUUUUUCCUCUAUUGGAACGUAGGCUGAUUCUUUUGUUUCCAUUCUCUUCCUGAUGUUAUGUUGUUAAAUCAGCAUAUUGCUACUCCUCCCGCCCCCAGACUAUAGUGAUAUUAUGGCAAUGAGUUCCACAGACUAUCAUUGAGACCAAGAGCUUAGAAGGAUACACAUGCUUCUGGAAGCCUAUAUGGAUCACAAGAAAAUCCUGAGUUGCAGUAAUAUGGAUUGAAAACCUACAACCACCACCCUCAGGAGUUACAGAAAGGAUGCAAACUCUCCUGCUUCAGGGUACAAGUCAACCUCUAAUUACAGUUUGGAAGAAAUUUUCCCUGGUAGCAGGUUAUCUCAUAACUGCCUCCUGCAGCAUUCCUUGCACCAUGCCUGUAGCAGCCAGUACUGGCCACUCUCAAAGACAGGGUACUGAACUGGAUGGUCUGCAGGUCUGAUCCAAUACAGCAAUUCCCAUGUGUCACUACACACCUGCUAUGUCUUGGCAAUGCUCCAGGUGGCUCAAUACUCCAAAGCUUCUCUACUAUUUAGCCCUCAAUUUUCCCAUCUAAUUACAUUUACUCUUAUUCACUUACAUAUGGGACCUUCAAUGACAAAGUACCUAGCAAGGGUAUGAAAGGAAAUGCAGCAAGCAACUAACCAAAUAACCAUGACCAGAGUGGCUUGACCAGCCAUUAACAGGCCCAGUGCUUGGGCAACAGUGAACUACAAAGGGGAGAGGAAGAGGCCAUGCGGCGAGAGUGAAAGAUGGAAGGAGACAAAACUGGCGCGCAGAGGAGAACAAAAAAAUCCGCAGGGCAAGUUCCUCAGCUGUCUUAGAACAUCUUUGCACAGCUCCUUUAUGUCUCUAUAAUGUACUGGAUAUUGAGCUGUUGGAUCUGAGCACCUCCAGAAAGGGAAAACAAUGAAUUUUCUCUCUCCCAGUAGGAAGCAUUCUUAAAGUUUUUGUUUUUAACAACAGAAAGAUACGAGAGUGCAAAGCUGUUCUGAAACCCAUGUGAACAGCCACCAGAGGAUUCUCUUGACAUGUGUGGGGGGAUUGUAAAGAGAGACGUUGGGCUGCUCCAGCGGACACCUGGGGCCACCCUGGCACAGAGCAGGGUAGCAUAAACCUGCCUUUGCACAGCCCAUCUUGAGCUGUGCAGAGUGCUGUUUACACUGCAAAUGAAUUAACUGUGAAGGAGAAGCCGAUGGAAGGAAGUGACCGAGUGGUGGGGGAGUGAGGAGAGAAGAGAGCUUGAAGGAGCCUGUUCAGGUGAUAGGGGAAGGGAAGGAUCCAAGUUUUAUUUGCUGGGGAUGUGCCUCCCUUGCUCUCAUUUCAGCCCAAUACUGACCCCUUCAAACCUGGUGCCUGGUAGGUAGGAUUUAGACAGCUGCCCUUAGAACGUGAUGCAUGGACAUGGAGCUAGGCCUUGUGUGUGAAAAACAAAGGCCAGGUCUGAGACCUGGCCUAGUGCAGACGUAAUUCCAGUUGGCUUCAGGGGAUGUGGUACUGCAUAGCCCUGCUCCUGUGUCCCCUGUAGGGGGAUGCUGAUUCUCUCUGUCCCAUAGGUUAAACAUUACAACAAGUAUUCCAGACACACCAUGCUGGGGGAAGUGAGGGUCACCCUCAGCAAACUAAAGGCCUCCCAACGUAUGGAGUUCUGCGAGGAGCUACAGAAGACUACAAAGGACCUUGUUGGAGAAGUCCUUGUGUCGCUGAAGUGUCUUCCCAUCUCUCAGAAGAUAGAAAUUGGGCUGCUCAAAGUCAAAACUGCCUCCGUGUGCAGCAGUCCAGAGAAGAGUGUGUAUGCGAGAAUAGACAUCUCCUGCCAUCUCCACAAACAGAAGAAUCAGAAAUCCAGCCCCAGGGCCCGAACCUCAGUCAUCAUCUUCAACGAGACUUUCCUCUUCCAUCUUGCUGAGCCUGUUGCUGGGGCCUGCACAGUCCUGGUCUCCGUUUAUGAAAUGAGCUCCAGGGCCAGAGGCAGCAGCAGGCAGCUCAUUGGACAGGCUGUCCUGGGGAAGAGGAUCCCCAGAGAAGCCAAUGACCACUGGGCCCUCAUGAUGCAGUCUGUCCAGCAGCCUGUGGCUAAGUGGCAUCCUCUGCUACUUUAGAAGGAGGAUUUUGCACCACUUCCAUGAUGUAGAAACUGGCCAGAUUUUCUCCAUGGCAUCAGGCCCAACAGCGUUCGAAGUGGGUAUCUUCCAGAGAUGGGUAAUAGCCUGAAGCUCCUGGUUAGAACAGCACUAACCGAAGUAGCUGCUAGUUGUGACAAAAGUUGCUGAUUCAUUCUCCCUCCCAGCAGCAGCAAGGGAAUGUCUUUCCAUCCCUGCCAAGUCCCAUUGUGAUUUGAUUAACAGUACUAUUGCCGCAGCACCGAGAGGCUGCAACUGAGACCAGGGCCCCACUGCACUAGGUGCUGUGUAUACACACAGACAGUCAGUAAGAGAACAACUCUGCCCUGAUGAGUUUACAAUCUGAACAGUCAAGGGAAGCAAUGGGUGGGAGGAAAGGAGUAUUAUUAUCCCCCUUUGACAGAUGGGGAAUUGAGGCACAAAGAUUAAGUGACAUGUCCAAGGGUUCACAGGGACUCUGUGACAGAGUGGGGAUUUGAACCCAACAUCUCCUGAGUCCCAGUCCAGUGCCUCAAGCAUCCUUCCUCUCUUUCCCCUUUCUUUGCCUGGGAGAGUCUCAGAUGUGGCACUUUCCCAGUGAAGGCACCCAGGCCUUGCCACCACUGCCUCCCUUCACUCACACGCACAUAGAGUGCCUGUGGGGAUGGAUGAAUACAAGACCUCGGCAUCCCAGGCUGUCAGUCAGGCACUUUCCUUCAGUGAUACCCCCAUGUUAAAAACAAACAUGCUUUGUGUAAAUGCAGCCCCCUCUCACCUGCUAAAGAUAAAUGAAACAGCCCAGACCUUGUAAACGAGAGCAGAGCCUGCUGAAGUAGGAGCAACCUGCACACUUUGCCCUUGCUGCCCUCUCAGGAAAGGUCUGGCCCCUGUGGCCACCACCACAGCUGGAGAGCUGCCAGCUGCUAAAUUUGGAUGAAUGGUUGUGAUCCAUCUCCAGCAAAUGUGUGUGUGUUCAGGGCUCUCCUGAAGUGGCUAGGAGGCAUGGUAGUGCAUCUAAAGCUCAUUAAUGCUUGUAAACUGUUUUCUUCCCAGGAUAUCACCAUUUCCCUGCACCGCAUGUAGGGGUGGACAGUGGCCACUGCUCUGGGACUUCAGGCUUCUGCUUUGUUUAGUCUCCCAGCACACAGCACCCCCUGGUGGAGGCAUGGCAGCACAAUCUCACCUUGUCUGGCUGUAGAAACAGAUCAGACCCCAUAUCCACCUAGUCCUGUAUCCAGUCUCUAACAGUGGCCAGCACCAGCUAUUUCAGUGGAAGCUAUAAGAACCCUGCAGUGAAUAGAUGUGGGAGAAUCUGAUCCCCACAUUAGGUCUCACCUGGAUCUCUGUCAGUUAGAGAAUGGUUUAAGCCCUGAUGCACGAGGCUCCAUAGCCUUUCCUAAAUUUGUCAUAAUUAAUUAUAAGAAUUUUGGAUAUUCUUGAUACCCAUAAACAUGUUUUAUCCCUU